CUACAUGAAGCUGGAAUCGCUGUAAUCGCGGAUCAGAAUGCCGCGGUGAAUACGUUCCCGGGUCUUGUACACACCGCCCGUCACACCAUGGGAGUCGGAAAUGCCCGAAGUCUGUGACCCAACCUACGGGAGGGAGCAGCCGAAGGCAGGUCGGAUGACUGGGGUGAAGUCGUAACAAGGUAGC
rnacentral:rRNA from 1 species